GUUGGUCCUGUUCGAACAGGCCCCAGGGCUACCACACAGGCUAUCUCCUGUUUGAUCUGCUCAAACGCCUGUUGUUGCUCAAGGCCCCACUCAAAAUGGGGCACCAUCAUCAUCA